AUGCCAAGGAAAACCAAUAUAGCCUUUCAAAAAAAACAUAAGAAAAAAAGUGCGACUAAGGAGGGGGUUUAUUGAUAGAUGAAUUUGGAUAGAGUUGGUGAAUUUUAACAGUUAGAUAGAUUUUAAAAGAAAAAUUUACACUCACAGACACAUUUUGACUUUACAAUAUCACAAUAAGACACAUUCCACUUGCAAUACACAUUCUACUUGUGUAAUGUCCAUGAUACCCUCUUAACCAGCACCUCAUUCUCGCUAUCUUUUUACUUUUUUGUGCUUUAGUUUUUUUUUUUUUUUUAAUUUGCUGAUUUAAAGAAAACAAAGAAAGUCACUUUCCCAAAUUCCCAGUUCACGAACCCUAAUCUUAUUUGUUAGAUUUUCUAUGGUUGCAAUUCAUUGUCAUUUUCUCACCCUAAUCCAUUUCAGUCCCUCACUCCGUAAAUCAUUCGCGAAUCAAAAUCAUUUUCUUCUCCACAUUUAUCUGUUUCGUAGCGGUAGUCUCUGAGCCACCGGCCCACCGUCGAACAAAGCCCCCACACCUGCUCCCGUGAGCAACAGAUUUCUAAAUGCAAGAUAUUGUGGAUGUGCUGGAGCUAUCACAGCACCAAGAUGUCUCGUGAAACUACACAAAGAAGAAAGUUUUGAUUUUAAUGAGAGCAAGAAAGAGUAAAGAUAAGUUUACGCCGUGGAAGAAGUUAGAUGGUAACGAGUUCGGUAUACAAAACUCCAUGAAUCUACACGUAUGGUUCCCAAUAAGCUCAGGAAAAGAGGUACCUCUUAGUUUUUCCCAGGCUUUGACUUAGGCUUCUGGUUAGCUUAUGUAGUGUGUCUAAACAAUUUUUAUUAGCGUACGUUAGAAAGCUUAUGUUUUUUGUAAUUGUUAGUCGAAUAUGGACCUGGCAAAUCUCUUUAGAUUGCUUUAUCCAGUUUUUUUCUGUUUGAUGGAGAAAGAAAUAUGAUAUCCAUGUCCAUAGUUUUUGUGUCCAUGUCCAUAAUUAUAUUAUAACUAUAUUAUCCACAAUAAGGUAUCAAUAUGGUAUGCAUAAAGUACUUGUCCACAGAUACUAAAAAAUUAUGUAAGAUGAUUAAGAAUAUAAAAACUUGUCCAAGAAAACACAUCAAUGAAACUUAGUUCAUGAAACCUCAUCCACGAAAAUUUUAAAGAGAUUUUCUAUAUUUUUUAUCCAUCCAUGUCCACAUCUUUUUAUGUUCACGUAUUUUUCUUACAUGUUCACAAUUUUGCAUCCACACUUCUUAUGUCCAUACAUUUUUUUAUAUAAUUGUUGAAAUAUAUAAAAUAUAUAUAUGAAAAUGGAUGUUAAAAUAUAGAGAAAAACAAAUUACAAUUUAUUGUAAUAAUUAUACUUUCUUCAAAUGUCUUAAACUCUGAGAAAAAAACAAAUAAAAACAUAAGAACUUUGCAAAAAGAACAAAGAAAAAAUUGAGAAAAAAUAAAUAAAAUAAAAAAAUGCAGCCAUCCUCUAGUUUCUCUGAACCAAACGUGAAGGGUACUGCUGUAAAACCACAAGGGGUGGAAGAGGACAAUGUGUCCCUCAAGUGGAAAGUGCUUUAUCUUGUAAAAAAAGAGAAUAAUGUGUCUGAUGAUGUAACGCACUCAUUUUAAAACUUAUGUGGAUUGUAAAAAUUUAUAUCACAAGGUUACAUAUGAUAUUUUUAUUUCAGAUUCCCGUAAGAACGUAGUGGUUCUUACCUAAAGCUUUAAACCUAGUUGAGUCACAAUUCUGAUAACGAAAGACAAAAAGAAAUAUAAAAAAAAUUUGAUUGAUUCCGGACUGAACCUUAUAUAAGGCUAAAGAAAAAACGCAACAUGUUACCUUUUCACACGCAUCUGAGAUUAUUUUGGGAAAACUGCAUGACAAUAUAUAUAAUAUCUUAGCCUAAGCUAUGUUAUGGAUAUAAACUUAAUUUCCUAGUAUGUUAUGUAUACGUUCUCAAAUUUCCCUUUUAUCUUCUUUAUUUUUUAGACAUGGCAGCAUGCAUUCACCGUCACCGGUCCAGCAUUGUUAUUCCUAACCACCAACAAAAACUUAUUGGUUGAAAUUCUCUUCUUGAAUACGAAUGUGAAUCGGGAAUCGUGACUUCGCCUUGCAGUCAAUGUGGUGUCGUCUUACUCCCGCCUCUCAGUUUCAUAUCUCAGAAACCUCCUCCUUCUCUCACCGCACAAGAUUUGGAACUCUGUCUUCUUCUCUCACCGCCGUGAACCCAACCGGUUUGCGUCCUGGAUCUUGUACAUCUUAGAUAAUAGAUAUUCACCUUUCCCUCUUUAAUCUAUCCAAAGUUAACUUGAGAUGAUAUGUGAAUAAAAAUGAGCCACGGUUUAUCUCUUACAUCAAUUAAUUAUUAAUUUUUUGCAGGUUUCAUCGUUUGUUUAAAAAGGUACCAUUGUAUUAUUAUGGAAAAUAUGGUUGUGAUUGGUAACUCAGUGAAGUAAAAGAGACAGAGUAAAGUGGAGUAAUAGAACGGAAAAGAAAAUGUAAAUCAGAGUAAAUGAUAACAAAAAGUUGUUGCACGGAUUUCACUAGGCCUGGGCGUUCGGGUACCCGUUGGCAUUCGGAUCGGGUUUUUCGAGUUUUCGAAUUUUCGGGUUUACGUUCCUAGGUUCCAUACUAAAAUUUUAUUAGUACGGGUCGGAUUCAGAUAAUAACACUUCAGAUUCGGUUCAAAAUUAUAUUGCGUCCUAAAACCCAUAAAGUAAUCAUAUACCGUACGGAUUCGGGUUAUAUCGGUUCGGUUCGAAUAUAACCGAAGU